rnacentral:misc_RNA from 1 species
GAUGAAGAACGUAGCGAAAUGCGAUAAGUAGUGUGAAUUGCAGAAUUCCGUGAAUCAUCGAAUCUUUGAACGCACAUUGCGCCUUCUGGUAUUCCGGAAGGCAUGCCUGUUCGAGAGUCAUUAACAACCGUUUCGAUCCCUUUCUUUCAGAAAUUACAAAGAGGAAAAGGGUUUGGUUAUGGUGGAGGAGGGAAAGGGAGCGUUUAGCCUGUAAAAAAAGAGGCUGUGUUCCGCCUCCCCCCCAAAAUUGUACAGGCGGUCGUGUGCGCCCACGCAUCGAGGUGUUGUAAAAGCUGCCACGGCACUUUUCACCUGUGCAGUGCGAGAUUGGCCAGCCGGUUUAAAAACCCCUCCAAACACUCAAAGGUUGACCUCGGAUCAGGUAGGGAUACCCGCUGAACUUAAGCAUAUCAAUAAGCGGAGGA